rnacentral:rRNA from 1 species
GGCGUGCUUAACACAUGCAAGUCGAACGAGAAGUACGUAGCAAUACGUAUUGUAAAGUGGCGCACGGGUGAGUAACACGUGGGUAAUCUGCCCUUGAGUUUGGGAUAACCCCGCGAAAGCGGGGCUAAUACCGAAUAAGACCACGGGGACCAAAGUCCCUGAGGUAAAAGAUGGCCUCUAUUUAUAAGCUAUCUCUUGAGGAUGAGCCCGCGGCCCAUUAGCUAGUUGGUAGGGUAAUGGCCUACCAAGGCUAUGAUGGGUAGCUGGUCUGAGAGGACGAUCAGCCACACUGGAACUGAGACACGGUCCAGACUCCUACGGGAGGCAGCAGUGGGGAAUAUUGCGCAAUGGGCGAAAGCCUGACGCAGCAACGCCGCGUGGGGGAUGAAGGUUUUCGGAUUGUAAACCCCUUUCGAUCGGAACGAAUCUCCUCUUGGUAAAUAAUCAGGAGGAUCGACGGUACCGGGAGAAGAAGCCACGGCUAACUCUGUGCCAGCAGCCGCGGUAAGACAGAGGUGGCGAGCGUUGUUCGGAUUUAUUGGGCGUAAAGCGAACGCAGGUGGUUUGGUAAGUCAGGGGUGAAAGUCCACAGCUUAACUGUGGCACUGCCUUUGAUACUGCCUUUCUUGAGUGCAUGAGGGGGAAGCGGAAUUCCGAGUGUAGAGGUGAAAUUCGUAGAUAUUCGGAGGAACACCGGUGGCGAAGGCGGCUUCCUGGCAUGUAACUGACACUCAUGUUCGAAAGCGUGGGUAGCAAACAGGAUUAGAUACCCUGGUAGUCC